AGAGAACCUGAAACCGUGUGCUUACAAGUAGUCAGAGCCCUUAAGGGGGUGAUGGCGUGCCUUUUGUAGAAUGAACCGGCGAGUUACUUUAUCAUGCGAGGUUAAGUGGAAGACAUGGAGCCGAAGCGAAAGCGAGUCUUAAUAGGGCGAAAUAGUAUGAUGGAGUAGACCCGAAACCAAGUGAUCUACCCAUGGCCAGGUUGAAGUUUAGGUAACACUGAAUGGAGGACCGAACCAGGACACGUUGAAAAGUGUUUGGAUGAGCUGUGGGUAGCGGAGAAAUUCCAAUCGAACUUGGAAAUAGCUGGUUCUCUCCGAAAUAGCUUUAGGGCUAGCCUCGUUGUGAGUUUACUGGAGGUAGAGCACUGUUUGGACUAGGGGCCCAUCCCGGGUUACCGAAUUCAGACAAACUCCGAAUGCCAGAUAAAUAUCAACGGGAGUCAGACUGCGGGUGAUAAGGUUCGUAGUCGAAAGGGAAAC
rnacentral:rRNA from 1 species